rnacentral:lncRNA from 1 species
CUAGCACAGAGACCAAUAUAGGUGCUCCUAAAUAUGAGUGUGUCCAAAACAUGAAAAUAAUGAUGAACCGAACAAGGAAAUAUUUGGAACAUAAUUUCCCUUGACUGAGGGAAGAAAAGUGCUUCUGAGGCUCUUUUGGAAUAAGUAACAGUUUUCAGAUUCACUUUUGCAAAGAUUGCCAAUAUCCUUCGCAGACACCAACAAACCAGACUGAACAGAAAGAUCCCUGUAGUAGGAUGCCGAGCAAAUCAUUGACUUCUCCAAUCUCUAAGAGACAAUAUCUAAAUGUCAGUCUCAUGGCAUUGUAUUUUCUGCUUCACCAUAAGAUUAGCAAACACAAGACAUAAAAUUAUGUUUAUUUACUAACCAAUACAGAAUAUACUAGGCCCUUUGCCUGGAAGCCAGAUUUCACUUCUGAGAUUUUCCGAAGUCCAUUCUAGAAGAG